AGAGCACGACAAAGAGGAUGUCUACCGCAUGCAGCCACGAGUACUUGAGCCGGUUGUGUGGAGCUCAGACAAAAUGUUUCUAUACUUUCUCCCGUGUCGCUUUAAGGUCUGGAUCCAAAUGGAAAUCACCAUCCCGGAAAAGGUGUCAUGACUCCAACCUCCAUCUUUACAUACUCAGACCACGUGUCAGAUCAGCAGGAAGUCACUGUCCUACAGGAGGUGGACCUCAGUAACGUGAACAACAUGCUGGUGAGGAUGAGCCUUGUCGAGCCGAGAGGAGAAACUUGCAGAGCAUGUGUCUAAAUGUGCAUUUAUGGUGAAGUGCUGUGAUGCAAGCUCAGUCCUGCAGCUCAUCUCCGCACACUGAAGCGGCUGUGACCUCCAGCCGGUGAAGAAUACCCGGGCGAUGAGCAGCCGGUGUCUGUAGCUGAAGCUGGGCUGAGGGAGAACUGUCCACUCCUAACUCAUGAAUCAUUGAAAGGAAGAUCUAAUACGUUUGCUGCCUGCCCAUAGAUGAGUUCUAUCAAAGAUGUAGUGGAUGUGAAUGUACUUCCCUCUCUUAUAAUAAACUUGAAACUGUAUUCUGA